UUUUUUCAAUUGCUAACACACUAAAAUGACAAGCACAGCACAAUUAUUUAAACUUACACACAGAGAGCAAAACUCCUUCUCAAGUCUCCAAAAGUCUAAACACAUUUUCUGCUUUAUACACAUUUUGCAUUUCAACAUGGCACUUUGUAAAUGCCCUGAACACAGUUCUCUGCAUAAGACACAACAAUCUGACAUAAAGUCACAUGUUUGCCAUUUCAAAAUGACGCUACAUGAGCUAAUUGGCCAAUUACAUGUGCCACCUGGCCAAACACCUCAAUGGUUAAUUGUUAACACUUCAGUCAGGAUGUAAGCACUACGAAAAGACCACAGGUGAGAACCUUUUUUUUUUUUUACAAUGACAAUGGAAGACAUUGCAGAGAGAGGAAGAGGAAGAGUGAGAGGUAGGGGUAGAGCAGGUAGAGGAGUUCAUGGCCAAAGAAGACAAACACUUUCAAAUGAAAUCAGAACAACCUUAGUAGAUCAUGUCAUCAACCAUGGGCUGACAAUGCGUGAGGCUGGACAGAGAGUGCAGCCAAACUUGAGCCGUUUUACUGUCGCCUCUGUCAUCCGGACUUUUAGACUGGAGAACAGGACUGAGAGACGACACCAUGGUGGAGGAAGGGGCCGAAUGUUCACCGGGGUACAGGAAGCUGCCAUUGUAAACUUGCUUUUGGAAAAUAAUGAAAUCAGAUUAUGAGAAAUUCAAAGCCACGUCAUCCAAGACAACAACUUAUUCAACAACAUUCAAAGAGUCAGUCUGUCCACAUUGGCUCACAUUCCCAAGCGAAACCAAAUCAGAAUGAAACAACUUUAUAAGGUGUCGUUUGAGAGAAACUCUCAAAGUAACACAUAGUUCAGACGAGCAUAUGUGGAUGGAGUACUGGAAAUGGAUGCUCAUGCAAUCCCACAUGAGUUCAUCUUUAUAGAUGAGGCUGGGGUCUACCUAGCAAAGACCAGAAGAAGGGGGAGAAACGUCAUUGGUCACAGAGCCAUUAUAGAUGUUCCUGGCCAACGUGGUGGGAACAUCACAAUGUGCGCUGCCAUCUCCAGUAUGCAUGGUGUCCUCCACCGUCAUGCCAACCUUGGACCAUACAACACAGCCCAUAUUCUCACAUUUGUGGACAGACUUCACAACAUUCUCAUACCACCAGAGUGUAUGAAUGAUGCAGACCAUCAAAGAAACCGGUACGUUGUAGUAUGGGACAACAUGAGCUUUCAUCAUGCAGCCCCAGUCCAACACUGGUUUGCUGACCACCCAACAUUUCUCGUGCAAUACCUCCCACCAUACUCACCAUUUCUGAACCCCAUAGAAGAGUUCUUUUCGGCAUUGCGGUGGAAGGUAUACGACCAGCAGCCCUUUGUGCAGGCCAUGGAAGAGGCGCAAUUCAGGGAUGGAUAAGGCACUCAAGGCGCAUCUUCCCUCGAUGUCUGGCAAGGGAAUAUAUUGCCUGUGAUGUUGGCGAGGUGUUGUGGCCAGACCCGGCUGUGCGGCAGGCAAGAUGCUGCCUAAUUAUUUUUCUUGCCUCUUUUUUUUUACUGUAAUAUAUUUUUUUCUGAAAUUUUCUUUUUCAGUUCAGUCCCAUGUAAAUAUAUCUGCUGUGCAUAUGUUGCACUGACUUGUUUACUGUAGUGAAAUAAAUAAAUAGAUAGAUAGAUAGAUAGAUAGAUAGAUAGAUAGAUAGAUAGAUAGAUAGAUAGAUAGAUAGAUAGAUAGAUAGAUAGAUAGAUAGAUAGAUAGAUAAAUGUUGCAAUGCCAUGUGUGUGUAUCUGCAAAUAUUUCUGUGCAUGUAAACAAUCUGAUACAUAUUUUAGUAUUAUGGCAAAGCAUGCUAAAGAUGGGGCUGCUUCUCAUUAUGCCCAACAGGGUGUAGUUUGUUAGGCAAAAAUCUGGUAAUAUGAAUGAAGUGUGUGCCAUUUCAUGCAAAAGUUUGAUUUUGAUAAUGCUGUGUGUAGUUUUGGUUGCAGUGCUUUAUUUUGCAGGAUAUAUGAGGUAUUUUGCAGUUUGGGUGUGUGGUUUUGUGAAUUGUGUUAAGUAUUUUGAUAAAAUCAGACUAGUUUGAAAAAUUGUGUUAGCAAUUAGAAAAAACUGUAUUAUUAUUACAAAUGAACCCUAUGUUACCUAAAGCACAGAAAAAAAAUGGUAAAAGGAAAUCAUUAAUACUGUGAAAUUUGUCCCAGAUUGUGUCCAUUCUGUGUUUUCCAGCAUUGCUUCAUGUUGCUUCGUGUGUGUGUGUGUUUGUGUGCGUGUGUGCGUGCGUGCAUGUAUGUGUGUAUAUGUGUGUGUGUGCGCGUGUGUUGUGAGUGUGUGUGCGUGUGCACGCGUGUGUGCAUG